rnacentral:rRNA from 1 species
UGGAGGAAAGUAGGGGAUCGUAAGACCUUGCGCUUUUGGAGUGGCCGAUGCCUGAUUAGCUAGUUGGUGGGGUAAAGGCCUACCAAGGCGACGAUCAGUAGUUGGUCUGAGAGGACGACCAGCCACACUGGGACUGAGACACGGCCCAAACUCCUACGGGAGGCAGCAGUGGGGAAUUUUGGACAAUGGGCGAAAGCCUGAUCCAGCAAUGCCGCGUGAGUGAAGAAGGCCUUCGGGUUGUAAAGCUCUUUCAGUCAAGAAGAAAAGAUUGUGAUGAAUAAUCACAGUUCAUGACGGUAUCGACAGAAGAAGCACCGGCUAACUACGUGCCAGCAGCCGCGGUAAUACGUAGGGUGCAAGCGUUAAUCGGAAUUACUGGGCGUAAAGGGUGCGCAGGCGGCUUUGUAAGUCAGAUGUGA